rnacentral:lncRNA from 1 species
CACAGAGCCUGGCACACGGGGGUGACCCAGGAAUUAUUGGCAGAAUGUACAUAUCAGUGUGAAUGGAAGCCCUGAUGACUCAAGAAGCCUAUGGGGUGGAGAGGGGACAUCCCUGCUCCAUGCCCAAAGCCUGCUAUGAGUGGACAGCUCUGAGCAAGGCUCUCCUUCAACCAGGACAGAGGAAUCCUGGGUCAGAUCACACUCCCUGGCUGGAGGCACACUGGCAGAACUUUCUCCUCUGACAGAGGCCAUCAAGUCAACUUUUGGCUCUGACAAGAAUGCUAAACCUGGGAAUCAGGAAAAGAAUCCGAAGACUGGGGCUUCUUCAUGUAUCCUUUGAAACCGUCUUUAAACACCUUUUUUUGGUGAGAGACACAGAUGGCUCCAAGGUGAAACAGAUAGUCUCUCUUCCUUUAAGGAACUCCCAGUCAGACAGAUA